GACGAACGCUGGCGGCGUGCCUAAUACAUGCAAGUCGAACGGUCUUUUCUAUGGAAGCUUGCUUCCACUGGGAAGAUAGUGGCGGACGGGUGAGUAACACGUGGGUAACCUGCCCAUAAGAGGGGGAUAACAUCCGGAAACGGGUGCUAAUACCGCAUAGGUUUCUUGGUCGCAUGAUUGAGAAAGGAAGACGGCCUUUGUGCUGUCGCUUAUGGAUGGACCCGCGGCGUAUUAGUUAGUUGGUGAGGUAACGGCUCACCAAGACGAUGAUACGUAGCCGACCUGAGAGGGUGAUCGGCCACAUUGGGACUGAGACACGGCCCAGACUCCUACGGGAGGCAGCAGUGGGGGAUAGUGGACAAGUGGGGGGAAACCCUGAUCCAGCGAUGCCGCGUGAGGGAAGAAGGUUUUCGGAUUGUAAACCCU
rnacentral:rRNA from 1 species